UUUAUCACAGUGCAUUUGAAUUAUUUGUUUGUCCGUCUGUUUCCACCGCUGGGCAGGGAGCUCUGGUGGCUGUGGACUUUGCCCCUACGUAUUUUUGUGUUUGUGUGUCCUGUCCCCAGUGCCUGGAAUAUGCUAGAUGUAAUUCUAAAAGUAUCAGUGGAAGAGGAAAUGCAGGAACAGUCCUCUGCAAGGAAGCCUUUUCCCCCGCGGUGACUCAGGAUGCUUUCUGUCGCAGCUGUCACAAGACUUGACUCAAAUCUGAUUUCAGCAAAGAGGGACCAGGAACUUGGAUAGGGCCCAGCUCGGAAGACUCACCUGGCCUCAUACCUGGGGCCUCAGCCGGGAUAGCAGACGUGUGAGGACGGGAGCAAGUGAGGAUGGGCUGGACGUCUCUCUCUCUCUGUGAAGGAGUGAAAUAUUGCCAUUUGCAGCAAUGGGAAUGGGCCUAGAGAUCGUCAUAUUAAGCGAAAGAAGUAGGUCAGGGAGAGAAAGACAAAUAUUAUAUGGUAUCACUUAUAUGAGGAAUCUCAAAGAAUGGACACAAACUUAUUUUAAAACAGAGACAAGAAGACAAACUUACAGUUACAAAGGGGAAAAGGGAGGGGGGAUAAAUUAAGAAUUUGCGAUUUGCAGGUACGAACUACUAUCUAUAAAAUAGAUAAACAAGGCCCUACUAUAGAGCACAGGGAACUAUGUUCAAUAGCUUGUAAUAACCUAUAAUGAAAAAUACAUGAAAAAAAAAUAGCAUAACUGAAUCACUAUGCUGUACUCCAGAAACUGACGCAAUAUUGUAAAUAGACUACACGUCUGUUAAAAAAUUGCAAAUGCAGUCUGAAGCCUGUUGUUUUACAACCUUUGAGCUAAGGGAGGUUCUGCCAUUUACUAACCGGACUACAUGUGAGAACCAGGCUGGGGCUGGACCUUACACUGCUUUGUGGGCUCACAUAUGGGGUUUGGACUUUAUUUGAAUAGUAAACAGAACCUUUAAGCAGAUUUGAUGCGAGGAUGUAACACAGGCUUAUUUACGUUUGAGAAGACUCUCUUGCUCUGUUGUGGAGACCGGUGAGAGGCUGUCCUGGCUCUCCAGGACAGAAGGGAUGGCAUACAGACGUGGUGGCAGGGGGUGUGCAGAGGAGACCCCACUGACACACAUCUUAGAAGCAGAGUGGAGGAAACUUGCUCCUGGACUGGGCUUGGCAGCUUGAGACCAAUGGGAAUGAGGAUGACUUCCAGAAGAAAUGAAAUACCAACCCAGUCCUGUUCGCUCACCGGAAAGCGUGAUGGCAUCAUGCUGCCUGACUCCUACUGGCGCCGUGAGAAAAUUCACGUUCACGGGAGCACAGUGCGGGGCCCGUCGUGAGCGACGGGUACACGAUGGCUACUAACGGUGCUGCGGCCACCACUGGCGCCGCCUCCACCGCCCCCACUGCUACCACUGUUACUGCUGCCGCCACCACCACCACCACCACCACCACCAUGACUCCCACCGCCACCAUCGCUACUGCCACUGUUACUGCUGCCGCCACCACCACCACCACCACCACCAUGACUCCCACCACCACCACUACUACUGCUACUCCCACCACCAGCACUACCACCGUUAUCACUGCUGUGUAUCACCCCCACCACUACCGCUACCACCACCAUUACUAGCACGACGACUACUACUUUACUAGUGUUUGAGACGACAUAACUGAUUAAAACCGAAGCUUCCCUGCUGGUACUUUCAAUGCAAUCUUGAACCGUGCAGGUGCGUGAUUUUUUUCCAUUUUCACUCCACUCCACUCGCGACUCUGGUGCCUUUGUCGUAUUGUUUAGUUUACCGUGAUCUUUGUUUACCAUGAAAAUUU